rnacentral:rRNA from 1 species
CCUACGGGUGGCUGCAGUGAGGGAUAUUGGUCAAUGGGGGAAACCCUGAACCAGCACCGCCGCUUGCGUUCCGCCUGUUUUCUUCUUUUCCCCCUCUUUCCUCUGUGCCGCUGCUGCCGGUCGCAGAGGAGGAAGCUCCGGCUAACUACGUGCCAGCAGCCGCGGUAAUACGUAGGGAGCACGCGUUGUCCGGCUUUCCUGGGUGUACAGGUUGCGUCGGCGGCCUUGCAAGUCCGAAGUGAACUCCCUGGGCUUAACCCAUGAACUGCUUUUGAAACUGCAGAGCUUGAGUGGAGUAGAGGUAGGCGGAAUGCCCGGUGUAGCGGUGAAAUGCGUAGAGAUCGGGAGGAACACCAGUGGCGAAGGCGGCCUGCUGGGCUCUAACUGACGCUGAGGCACGAAAGCGUGGGUAGCAAACAGGAUUAGAUACCCGAGUAGUC